GUCUAUGGCCAUGCCACUCUGAACACGCCCGAUCUCGUCUGAUCUCGGAAGCUAAGCAGGGUCAGGCCUGGUUAGUACUUGGAUGGGAGACCACCUAGGAAGGCCAGGUGCUGUAGGCA
rnacentral:rRNA from 1 species